AAACCAACCGGGAUUGCCUCAGUAACGGCGAGUGAAGCGGCAAAAGCUCAAAUUUGAAAUCUGCGUAAGCCGAGUUGUAAUUUGAAGAUGGCUACUUUGGUAAUGGCUCUUGUCUAUGUUCCUUGGAACAGGACGUCACAGAGGGUGAGAAUCCCGUGCGAUGAGAUGUCCAUUACCGUGUAAAGUGCUUUCGAAGAGUCGAGUUGUUUGGGAAUGCAGCUCUAAGUGGGUGGUAAAUUCCAUCUAAAGCUAAAUAUUGGCGAGAGACCGAUAGCGAACAAGUACAGUGAUGGAAAGAUGAAAAGAACUUUGAAAAGAGAGUGAAAAAGUACGUGAAAUUGUUGAAAGGGAAGGGCUUGAGAUCAGACUUGGUAUUUUGUAUGGCUUGCUUUCGGGCGGGUCCUCUGCAGUUUACUGGGCCAGCAUCGGUUUGGGUGGCAGGAUAAUAGCGAAGGAAUGUGGCUCUACUUCGGUGGAGUGUUAUAGCCU
rnacentral:rRNA from 1 species